CAGGCUUACUUGGAGCUGGAGGGCGGGUCUUCUCAGGAGUCGAGCAUGGUCAUUGGUGAAGCCAGCCGGAAGAGGUGGGCAGGAAGGCGGUACGCCACGGCUUCCGGUGGGCUGCCUGAGGAGGGGAGCGAGAGGCGACGGCCGCGGGGACGCUCAGGGCGGGGCUCGAAGCACGGAAACGGCCCCCAGCUUCGCGUCCCCACCUCCAUCUCGGUGCACAGCAGCCUGCCUUCUGGGUCCUGGGCGGGGCCAAAGCCCCGCAGUUUGCUGGGUUGUGCGUCUUUUACUGGGGAGAGGGCGAAGAGACGUCUCCCCAGAGCCCAGGGCCCUGGAGACCUUGGGGAUUCCGUCGGGGCCCCACCCCCCACUCCCGGCAGGACUCCCCCUGCUGUACUGAGGGCGGAUGGCCCAGGACAGUGUAUUAGGGGUGCCCAAGGACCGUGGGAGCGGGGAGGGUGGGCGGCAACCCCGCCAAUAUGCCAAAGGGCAGGGUCAGGGGGUCUUCGCUUGGCCCCUCCCUCCAGUCCUGGCGUCUGAGGGCGGCCUUGACCUGCGGUCUUGAUGCCGUCCACCCUCCCAGGGUCUCGAAUCUGGCCGCCUCCAGCCGCUCCCACCCAUUGCCCGGCCCACCGUGUUCCACAGCCCGUGUGGCCCGCUGGGAGGGAAUCUUGCCCAGGCACUCCUGUUCUCCAGGACCGCCUAUGGUUGCAGCCCUCAGUGCCUGCUGCCUGCCUCUUCCCUGGAGGUCCAGGGCUGGGAAAAGCCACGAGGCUGGUGGUUCUCGCGAGAUCUGGGGCUUCCCAUUGAGCAGUCGUCACCCUUCCCUGCCUGAAGCCGAAGGAGGGGCUAUCCACAGCCCAGGCAGGAUCAGGUGUCAGGUGUGGUCAGCCUUCUCUCGCUGGUGGGAAGCCACUGCCUUUCCUGCCACACGUUCCUCACCAAGAGGAUCUCCCAGCUCCUGGGUGAUGCUGCCCAGACCUCCUCAACACCCAGCGCCAUCACCCACUUCUUUGGCCAGUCGUUGCCGAGGCUUGUCUGUCUUUGGCUCCAGGAUGGCCCGCCAUCCAGUUGGAGCCACAGAUGAAAAGCAAUGCCAGUGUCCAGCUGCCCCAUGUGCCCAGAACCAGCAGCUCUGGAACCCCAGCCCCCGAGUACAUUCUUGGAGUCAUUUCAGGGCGGUGGGGUGGCGCUUUGGUUGGCAUUUUCCAAGGCCCUCUCCUGCACCCUUUUCCUUUGGGUCACUGGUCUUUUCUUAUUGACUGGUUCAAGUUCUCUAUACAUUAAUGAUAUGAGCCCUGAGUCACAUCUUGGUACUAUUUUUUGGCCCACUUUGUCACUUGUCUCUUGACUUUGUGGUUUGGGGUUUGUGUUUGACUAGGCAGACGAUCUUAGAGUUUGUGUCACCAGACUUUCCAGGGUCUUCCUAUUGGUUUCUGGGGUUUCUUGUCAGUUUGUUUGCUCCCAAUUGACUUACAGUGAUCUUCUCUAUUUAAAGUCAUCGUGUAUAAAUUACCCAUUGCUGAAUAACAAGGGGCUACCCAGGUGAAGGUAGCGUAAAAACCUGCCUGUCAACACAGGAGACAGAAGAGAUGUGGGUUGCGAAGAUCCCCUGGAGAAGGAAAUGGCAACCCACUCUAGUACUCUUGCCUGGAGAAUCCCAUGGACAGAGGAGCCUGGCAGGCUACAGUCCAUGGGGUCGCAAGGAGUCGGACACGACUGAGGUGACUUAGCAUGCAACCAUGUGUAGCAAAUUACCCCAGAUGUAGUGUAGUCCCUUAAAACAACCAGCACUGGUAAUCUCCCAGGUGUCUGAAGGACAGAAUUCUAGAAGGCCUGGCUGGGGCUUCUGGCCUGGGGUCCAUCACAGGCUGCAGUCAAGGCUUCUCUGGGGCCACAGCCCUCUGGUCUGCCUGGGGUGUUGGGGUGGGAGGGGGGUAGGCUCUGCUUCUGGAGGGUUCAUGGGGCUGCGGCAGGGGACGGUCCCUCCCCACCGGGCCUCUCCACCGGGCCUCUCCACCGGGCUGCUCGGGUCAGGCCUUCCCCAGAUCCAGCGAUCUCAGAGAGACAGAGCAGCCCCGAGAUGGAAGCCACAGUGUUUGUCUCGUAACUCAUCUCGAGGUGACACUCCAUCACCACUGCUGUGAUUUUAUGGGUCACACUGGUCACCCCGUGGAGAAGAGAACGGUACCCACGUGGGCCUAGGUUCUUCACGUUCGUGCCGCAUGAGAAGGCUCCAAGGAGUGUCCCUGCCCCUGAGCC
rnacentral:lncRNA from 1 species